rnacentral:rRNA from 1 species
GUCGCCUCCUAAAAGGUAACGGAGGCGCUCAAAGGUUCCCUCAGAAUGGUUGGAAAUCAUUCAUAGAGUGUAAAGGCAUAAGGGAGCUUGACUGCGAGACCUACAAGUCGAGCAGGGUCGAAAGACGGACUUAGUGAUCCGGUGGUUCCGCAUGGAAGGGCCAUCGCUCAACGGAUAAAAGCUACCCCGGGGAUAACAGGCUUAUCUCCCCCAAGAGUUCACAUCGACGGGGAGGUUUGGCACCUCGAUGUCGGCUCAUCGCAUCCUGGGGCUGUAGUCGGU